rnacentral:rRNA from 1 species
UACGUAGGUGGCUAGCGUUGCCCGGAUUUACUGGGCGUAAAGAGCGCGCAGGCGGUCGUUCAAGUCGAGUGUGAAAGCCCCCGGCUCAACUGGGGAGGGUCACUCGAUACUGAUCGACUCGAAGGCAGGAGAGGGAAGCGGAAUUCCCGGUGUAGUGGUGAAAUGCGUAGAUAUCGGGAGGAACACCAGUGGCGAAGGCGGCUUUCUGGCCUGCUCUUGACGCUGAGGCGCGAAAGCUAGGGUAGCAAACGGG